rnacentral:lncRNA from 1 species
CCACGCUGCCCCUCCGCCGGGAACAAACGCCUUCCAAUCGAAAGACCGUCUCCCGGGUACCCCUAAAGUAAUUGCAAUAAAAGCAUGGAGAAAAAGCCAGAUGGAAGAAUUGUUUUAAAACAAGUAACCCACCAGUGGAUGAGAAGACACUACAACUUCAGUUAAUUCUAGCAACCAAAUAUAAGAUACUCCUCUUAAGAGUGGAAAAUGGCACGGAAAUGGGUUGGCAUUGAUAACUGUUGUUGGCAGACAUCACCUCUCACAGCUUUUCGCCUUGUCAAAGGAUGCCUCGUUCCCGAGGGAGUUCUGUAAGAGCAAAGCAAACGACCUGUAGGCAUAAGUCAGCGAGUUUGCUGCACGAGAGGACAUUCAUCUGGAAAGUCAGACACCCCUGUCAACUUCCAAUUUCUGGAGGUGGCAUUUCUUGAGGCCCUCCCUCUUGGAUUGGAGGUUUCCAGCCCAGGCGCCUGUCUCUUUACUAGGCUAUAAAGGACUUCCCUUCCCAAGGCCUCCUCAAGGUCCCUGCUGGCUGCGGCAGUCUCGGCAUUUAGGUGUUUCUCUUAACCAGCAACAAGAGAGGGAUUUAGAGGACCUUCUUGACUUAAAAGCAUUUUCUGGAAGUUGCACGUCCUAUUCUCCUUACAGUCCUCAGCGGGUAUGUAGCCAUGUGACCAGACCUAAAGCCAGGGAGGCUCUGUGCUCAGCUAGAAAUGGAGAAUAAUGAUUAGGAGAUAAUUAGAAGCCUCUGAACUCAGGUAGCUGGUGGAGGCAGAACUUGCGAGUUAUUUCAGCUCCUCUCAAUUCCUGUCCUUUCUUCCUCACACUUCCACUAAUUAUGUGAAUGUGCCCAACGUUCGUUAUCAUUGCGCUCUUCGGGCCCGACUAGAAGUCUUUCUUUACUACCUCACAAACCUUUUCCGAACAACCCCAUGCUCUAGCUCUCCGAAUUUCAGUGUUCCGUCUACACCACACAGUCUGGGCUGUACUGUGUUGUAGAUGCUUCUAUUUCUGCAGAGCCAGU